rnacentral:misc_RNA from 1 species
GAUGAAGAACGCAGUGAAAUGCGAUAAGUAAUGUGAAUUGCAGAAUUCAGUGAAUCAUCGAAUCUUUGAACGCACAUUGCGCCCGCCAGUAUUCUGGCGGGCAUGCCUGUUCGAGCGUCAUUACAACCCUCAGGCCCCCGGGCCUGGCGUUGGGGAUCGGCGGAGCCCCCCGUGGGCACACGCCGUCCCCCAAAUGCAGUGGCGGUCCCGCCGCAGCUUCCAUCGCGUAGUAGCUAACACCUCGCGACUGGAGAGCGGCGAGGCCACGCCGUAAAACACCCAACUCUUCUGAAGUUGACCUCGAAUCAGGUAGGAAUACCCGCUGAACUUAAGCAUAUCAAUAAGCGGAGGA